UACGGGGGGGGCAAGCGUUGUUCGGAAUUACUGGGCGUAAAGGGCUCGUAGGCGGCCAACUAAGUCAGACGUGAAAUCCCUCGGCUUAACCGGGGAACUGCGUCUGAUACUGGAUAGCUAGAGGUUGGGAGAGGGAUGCGGAAUUCCAGGUGUAGCGGUGAAAUGCGUAGAUAUCUGGAGGAACACCGGUGGCGAAGGCGGCAUCCUGGACCAAUUCUGACGCUGAGGAGCGAAAGCCAGGGGAGCAAACGGG
rnacentral:rRNA from 1 species